CGGAACGUGUCCUGUUGUGGGGGACGAACUGAUCGAAAGAUCAGCUAAUACCGCAUGAGACCUGAGGGUGAAAGCGGGGGAUCGCAAGACCUCGCGCGACAGGAGCGGCCGAUGUCUGAUUAGCUAGUUGGUGAGAUAAAAGCUUACCAAGGCGACGAUCAGUAGCUGGUCUGAGAGGAUGAUCAGCCACAUUGGGACUGAGACACGGCCCAGACUCCUACGGGAGGCAGCAUG
rnacentral:rRNA from 1 species